rnacentral:rRNA from 1 species
UACGUAGGGGGCAAGCGUUGUCCGGAUUUACUGGGCGUAAAGAGCGUGUAGGCGGCCAAGCAGGUCCGUUGUGAAAACUGGAGGCUUAACCUCCAGACGUCGACGGAAACCGCGCGGCUAGAGUCCGGAAGAGGAGAGUGGAAUUCCUGGUGUAGCGGUGAAAUGCGGCAGAUAUCAGGAAGAACACCAAUGGCGAAGGCAGCUCUCUGGGAACGGU